GGUCCCGAUAACUCGGGCAGCACCCUCGUUGCGUUGCUCGUAGCUGUCCACAAUGGAGGCCAAAAUGACUGGGUGCAGCCUGACCACGCGGCCAUCGGGAAAGGGCCCUGGGAGAGCGGGACCAGGCAGAGCGAGCACUGGGAAGUGGUCCAAGAGAGAAUUUGUGAUGAUGAGCUGAUCUUAAUCAAAAACACUAAGACUCGUACAUCCGCAUUGAUUAUCUUACGUGGGGCAAAUGAUUUCAUGUGUGAUGAGAUGGAGCGCUAUUUACAUGAUGCCCUUUGAAGUGAAGAGAGUUUUGUAGUCAAAAUCUGUGGUUCCAGGUGGGGGUGCUGUAGAAGCAACCCUGUCUGUAUACCUUGAAAACUAUGCAGCCAGCAUGGGGUCUCGGGAACAGCUUACUAUUGCAGAGUUUGCCAGAUCACUUCUUGUUAUUCCUAAUACACUGGCAGUUAAUGCUGCCUAGGACUCCACAGAUCUGGUUGCAAAAUUAAGAGCCUUUCACAAUGAGGCUCAGCUUAACCCAGAACGUAAAAACCUAAAAUGGAUUGGUCUUGAUUUGAGCAAUGGUAAACCUCAAGACAACAAACAAGCAGCAGGGGUGUUUGAACCAACCAUAGUUAAAGUUAAGAGUUUGAAAUUUGCAACAGAAGCUGCAAUUACCAUUCUUCGAAUUGAUGAUCUUAUUAAAUUACAUCCAGAAAGUAAAGAUGAUAAACAUGGAAGUUAUGAAGAUGCUGUUCACUCUGGAGCCCUUAAUAAUUGAUCUCCUUGUUUCUUUAUUUAUAACAAUGUUAAAUGCAGUCGUCUUGUAGCUUGAGUAUCCAUUAAAAUACACCAAGCUGUAAACUUGGGUUUUUGUGAUGUAGGAAAUGGUUUCCAUCUGUGCUUUGGUCCUCUGAUUUCACAUAUUAUAACCCUAGUACUUUAUUAGUUUAAAAAGAAAUUGAGGUGGUUCAAAGUUCAUGCCCUCUGAACACACAUUGCUAUUCCCAUCCCACCGCCAAUGCACAGGGCCGCAACACCACGACUUCUGCCCGUUCUCUCCAGCGCGUGUAACAGGGUCACAAGAAUUCGACAGCCAGAUGCUCCAAGAGGGUGGCCCAAGGCUACAGCCCCUCCUUGAAUGUUGACCUAAGGGGGAGAAGAGACUUAGAUUGUUUAUUCUUCUGUGGACAUAGUUUAAAAUCCUAAACUUGUCCUUUUCCUCUUAAUGUUGUAUUAGCAUGCUACACUUUCAAACUCAGAUUUCCAUUUUAACUGCUUAGGAAUAAAUUCACACCCUUGUGAAAAUUC